CGUAGGACCCAAGCGUUAUCCGGAGUGACUGGGCGUAAAGAGUUGCGUAGGCGGCUUAGUAAGUGGAUAGUGAAACCUGGUGGCUCAACCAUUCAGACUAUUAUCCAAACUGCUAAGCUCGAGAAUGGUAGAGGUAGCUGGAAUUUCUAGUGUAGGAGUGAAAUCCGUAGAUAUUAGAAGGAACACCAAUGGCGUAGGCAGGCUACUGGACCAUUUCUGACGCUAAGGCACGAAAGCGUGGGGAGCGAACCGGA
rnacentral:rRNA from 1 species